GUCAGCUGAAGUGAAGACGCUGGGGCUCCGCUGGUGUCUGUAAAUGCAAGUUCAAGGGGACUUUUUAACAUCAGAAUCAAAAAUAUGAGAGUCAAGAGACAGGUCCUCUGCGCCCUGUAGAGGAUCACAGUAGAGAUAAGAAGUAGGAGGCAAUUGCUCUGAAGGUGGGAAAAAUCAUUUGAAGGCAGCAGAACAGACACAAGAGGGAGAGUGUCUGUAUUUCGAGAGAUGACGGAAGUGACAUGAAGAUUUGUGGGAAAGGGAACAAGAAAAAGAUGCCUGCCUAGUGGGCUACAUACUGUCUGAUUCCAACUACGUGAGAUUCUAGAAAAGACAAAGCUAUGGAGACAGCGAGGAGCACUGGUAAUGAAAGUCCAUGGACAAGCCUCAGUCUCAAAUGAACUACACAUUAAAAAGGACUGCAUCAGAGGAGAAUGAAUCUACUCAAGGCCCAGGCACUUCACAAACCCAAGAAAGAAACUCAGCCAGGAAAUACAGUUAGUAGUUACCAGCAAGAUCUCCUG